GCCCGUUUAGCUCAGUGGUAGAGCGCGCCACUCGUACCUCGGGUGUGGCUGCCCCUUGUUCCUCGAGUGGGUAGCUAUGCUUGGUCAUGGUGAGGUCGGUUGUUCAAGUCAGCCAAUGGGCA
rnacentral:tRNA from 1 species